ACAAGAGGUCUGGAUAGCUGUAUUCUUUUUGCUUCCUCCUUUGACCUGGACUUGCACUGGAAGAAAAUGAGUAACAAUACUUGUAACACUUAGUAAAAGAGAUUAAUGAGUCAACCAGAUACCGAAUAUUUAUUGUAUGAGACCUUUGAGAAGCUUAUAUAAUCUUUUAGCAACAAUAAGCAAGAAACACUUACUGCUGCUUCCAAGACCAGAGGAAAAAAGUCUAAUUACUCUUAAGUAAAUAGAUAUAUCUCUCUUGAAAUACUUUUUCUUUCCUGCCUAAAACUCAGAAACCAAAAGAGCACUGCAAAACCG
ensembl:lncRNA